AAACUACUACUACCACUAUUGCUGCUGUUUUCCUGAUGAUCGUGCAAACAAGAUGUGCUCGAUGAUUUCCUCACUUCCCCAUAUCCAUUGACCAUGCAUUCUUCUCCUAAAAUCGUUGCUGCCACGUUGAACCCGUCGACUGCCACGGAAUUCAUCCGGCUUCCUGCUUUUGAUCUCAGUGCCAGCUGUUUUGCAGUUAUCGCUGGAAACCCUGCGUUGCCAGUGUUAUCUUCCUUCAAUAGGCGGGCAGUAAAGUCAGCCUCGGAUUUCUGCCGUCUUCUAAUAAGUUUCUCAUUGGAUUUAUUAUCAGGUUCACCUUCUUUGCCCUCACCUGCAGACAUGAUAUCUACCAGGAUUUCACCAUUCUCAUCGUAAAAUCCAUUAGCUACACUUCUAGACUUCCGUUUAAGCAUCGAAAGAGGGUUGGAAGAGGAGGGUUUAAGGAACAGACCAUCUUCCAAAUAAUCAGCUUCACCCUUCCUGUAUAGUGCCAUUUCAAAACCUUCGGGCAUGGUCUUUUUUUCUGUUGGUCUAAGGCCAUAGUACCCUUGCAAUGAGCUCAUUGCCGGGGAGACCCUUCGAGGACUCUUCAAUCUCAAAGACUGGAACGAGUCGAGCCAAUCGACUGGCAAAUUUUUUGCUGGGGAUUCAUUGGCACUGCUUUGCCUGCUGAGAGUUAAACCAAUCAUGAGCUCAACUGAAACAACUGAAUAAAACAAGGGAAUACAGAGAUCAGACAAGCAUCUCGCAGGAUUUUAAAGGUGAGAGAAAUCGUUUAGCCGAUCCAAAGCUCUUAAACUACUGCUGUGCUGUGAGUCAUCGGCAGACUAAAACGACACGACAGACCAGAAAACCCUCUGUAACCAUUGUUGAGGCUCAUAGGCAAAAAGUAAUGCCUUUUCCACUGCCAUUUCUACAGUACCACUUCUAUUAGCAAAACCUUUCAUUAGUCAUGGAUGGUACCAAUAGAACAACCCAACACCAAAGAUAAUGCUAAGCAACGUUUGUUUGAGUGAGCAAAUAUUGUUGGAUGAGGAAGCAUCCCCCAUCAAUCCACACAUGAAGGCGAUGCAACCAUCUCAAUGCAGGGAGCAAAGAGAGUUAAAAAAUUUAAGGUAAAGUUCAUAAACAAGUAAUAAAGAAAAAACAUAAUACCCUGGUGUGGUGGAAUCAUUUGACAAGCAAGGUGAUGGUGGAUGCCGCCCUGGUAAAGGGAUCUGGAGUGUCUUAAGAGCAAACAUUUGAAGAUCUGUAACCAGUCCAUUCAUCCUUUUUAUGUCAGCUACCUGAAUUAUUUCAACAACAAUAAUUUUGUCAUUUACCAAUGAUGACAUAAAUUAGAUUUAAUUCCUAAUAAAA